rnacentral:rRNA from 1 species
CCUACGGGGGGCAGCAGUGGGGAAUAUUGGACAAUGGGCGCAAGCCUGAUCCAGCAAUGCCGCGUGUGUGAAGAAGGCCUGCGGGUUGUAAAGCACUUUAAGCAGGAAAGAAGGGGUGAAAGUUAAUACCUUUCAUCAUUGACGUUACCUGCAGAAUAAGCACCGGCUAACUCCGUGCCAGCAGCCGCGGUAAUACGGAGGGGGCGAGCGGGAAUCGGAACGACUGGGCGUAAAGCGCUCGGUCCGUGGUGAACGCCCUGGGCUUAACCUGGGAACUGCGGUGGAUACUGUCGGGCUAGAGUGUGGUAGAGGGGAGUGGAAUUUCCGGUGUAGCAGUGAAAUGCGUAGAGAUCGGAAGGAACACCAGUGGCGAAGGCGGCUCCCUGGACUAACACUGACGCUGAGGUGCGAAAGCGUGGGGAGCAAACAGGAUUAGAUACCCCGGUAGUC